rnacentral:rRNA from 1 species
AUGGCGAAGCAUACUACCCUCCUCCUCGUGGCAAUAGUAGCCGUCCUUCUCACUGCCACCGCCGCCACCCUGGCCAAGGCCCCCUCCCCCACAACCAACAAGCCGACAGCGUACGAAAUGCUAGGGUGAUAUGGCUUCCCACCGGGGAUCCUCCCGGAGGGAGUUCAUGACUACGAGCUCCACCUAGACGGCUCCUUUGAGGUACACUUCUCCGAUGAAUGCAAACUUCGUGUUGACGGCCAGUACGACAUCCACUACAGCACUCGGGUCGCCGGGAACAUAAAAAAUGAAACGAUCAGCGGCCUCGAAGGCAUUAAGGUCGGCCGCGAUGGCGAUGAGCUUAGGCUGCACGCCGGGAUGAUAUCCAAGUCAUUCCCCGUCGGCGAUAUCUCCUCUAGCCCUAAGUGUAACUGA